UGGGUCAUUUUUCAACAGCCUGGUGCUC
rnacentral:piRNA from 1 species